GACAGAGGGUGCAAACGUUUGUUCGGAUUUACUGGGCGUAAAGCGCGUGUAGGCGGCUUCGUAAGUUGGAUGUGAAAUCCCACGGCUCAACCGUGGACGUGCAUCCAAAACUACGUCGCUGGAGUCUCGGAGAGGAAGGUGGAAUGCUUGGUGUAGAGGUGAAAUUCGUAGAUAUCAAGCAGAACACCUGCGGCGAAAGGCGGCCUUCUGGACGAUGACUGACGCUGAGACGCGAAAGCGUGGGGAGCAAACAGG
rnacentral:rRNA from 1 species